rnacentral:lncRNA from 1 species
CCCCCUGCACUGUGGCAGCACCUGGGCUGCUGAACUGCAUUUGUCCACAAAAUUCACUGCAAGUCCCACCUUGCUGCUCUGUUGGUGAUCUCACAGACACAGAUCAGAAAAUUAUACAAAUCUUAUAGCAAGUUUAUGAUGCCUGACAAAGAUGGCCCAUAAACAACAACAAAAAGAAAAACAACAAAAUUGAAGUUACCCAUCUCCAUCUUCACAGAAAAGUUUUCAAAAGGUGUCUAUGACAUCCUUGAGAAAACCAGACUUCAGUUCCCAAUUCAAUAUGAGGACUGUGACACGAGCUCAGCC